CACCACACAAACGCGGAACGCUGCCCGCCAAGAAAACACAAACAGCUAUUCACCUCUUCCACUGACACUCUUCGAGAAUUUCGUACUAAAAUUCUGCAAUUGCAAUUUGUAUGGGUUUGAUCGUGGAUCCAGAGAUAAAUAGAUAGAUAGGUAUGAACGUGAACGCAUCAUCGUCGUCGUCAUCGGCAGCGGUCCACCCGAAUCCUCCUCAAUCGUCGGGCUCUGAUGCGUCGGGCAAGAAGGUCCGGAAACCCUACACCAUCACCAAAUCACGCGAAAGCUGGACCGACGAGGAGCACGACAAGUUCCUUGAAGCUCUUCAACUAUUUGACCGUGACUGGAAAAAAAUUGAAGAUUUUGUGGGUUCAAAGACAGUAAUCCAGAUUCGGAGUCAUGCACAAAAGUACUUCCUGAAGGUCCAAAAGAAUGGGACACUAGCACAUGUGCCUCCUCCUCGCCCUAAACGCAAAGCUACUCAUCCAUACCCACAUAAGGCAUCUAGAAAUGUUCUAGUGCCAUUGCAAGCAUAUACGGCUUAUCCUUCUUCAAUGAAUACCCUUGUACCCGGGUACGGUACAUGGGAUGACGCCUCUUUGCUGAUAAACUGUGCAAGUAGCGAAGCCAUGACAUCCCAAGACGAAUUUGCCAAUCUUAGAACAGUUCCUGGUUCUAAGAUACCUAAGCAAGGGAAACAAGCUCCAAUGCUUCAUGGUAUACCAGACUUUGCUGAAGUGUAUAGCUUCAUUGGAAGUUUAUUUGAUCCAGACACUGAAGGUCAUGUGCAAAAGCUCAAGGAAAUGGAUCCCAUAAAUUUUGAAACUGUUUUGUUAUUGAUGAGGAACCUCACUGGUAACUUGUGUAGUCCCGAUAUUGAGCCGAUUGAUUCUUAGAUGUAUGUUGGAGGCGGAUUUUGCAGCAAAAAUCAUGGGAGUGUGCUAAUGAUGUCGAAUGGGAGAAAAUUCUCAACUGAUUCUGGAGAAGUCUGAAGCUUGAUUUCCAGAGAACACAAAGCUGUGGCAGAGGUCAUUGAUGCAGAUGAAACUCUAUUUCAGGAAGGAGAAACACCUCAGAAUUGGGUGGAAGCUGUUGAAUGGAUUGAAACCUAUGCACAAGGCAUCUUUCACUGCAUCUGCAAGGUGUGUCCAAGACUCCAAGCAAUGGAAAAGAUUUUCCCACUGUUGGUUAGGAAGCCCAAUGUGUAGAGUUCAAAACCCAGAGUCAACUCAUAUUCCAUCUCAAACUGCCUGAGUGAAGUUUUAGGGUCCAUUUGGUAUGAUGAAAAACAAAAAAAACGUCUAUUUUUUCGUUUUUGGUUUUCAUUUUAACCACUUUUCUGUUUUUUUUUAAUAAUUUUUUAACCAAAUAUGUUUUUGAGUUAUUUUUUGUUGUCCAAAAAAUACGAAAAACAAGUAUACCAAAUUGAUGUCGGAAUUGAACCUAGGAACUCUUACUUUUAUGGGUAUUGAUAAUGUCUUGUGUGAUGAACAUUUUCUUGCUUAAAUGCAUAUUUUUCAUCCUUAUUUAGUAUUUUAAACCCUUAUUAUCAUUUUUCAUUUUUUA